rnacentral:rRNA from 1 species
UGGGGGAUAUUGCACAAUGGGCGAAAGCCUGAUGCAGCGACGCCGCGUGGGGGAUGAAGGCUUUCGGGUUGUAAACCUCUUUCGCUAUCGAACAAGGCCCGCUUAGGGUGGGUUGAGGGUAGGUGGAGAAGAAGCGCCGGCUAACUACGUGCCAGUAGCCGCGGUAAUACGUAGGGCGCGAGCGUUGUCCGGAAUUAUUGGGCGUAAAGGGCUUGUAGGCGGCUUGUUGCGCCUGCUGUGAAAACGCGGGGCUUAACUUCGCGCGUGCAGUGGGUACGGGCAGGCUUGAGUGUGGUAGGGGUGACUGGAAUUCCAGGUGUAGCGGUGGAAUGCGCAGAUAUCUGGAGGAAAACCGAUGGCGAAGGCAGGUCACUGGGCCAUUACUGACGCUGAGGAGCGAAAGCAUGGGUAGCGAACAGG